rnacentral:rRNA from 1 species
GAUGAACGCUGGCGGCGUGCCUAAUACAUGCAAGUCGAGCGAACGGACGAGAAGCUUGCUUCUCUGACGUUAGCGGCGGACGGGUGAGUAACACGUGGAUAACCUACCUAUAAGACUGGGAUAACUUCGGGAAACCGUAGCUAAUACCGGAUAAUAUUUUGAACCGCAUGGUUCAAUAGUGAAAGACGGUCUUGCUGUCACUUAUAGAUGGAUCCGCGCUGCAUUAGCUAGUUGGUAAGGUAACGGCUUACCAAGGCAACGAUGCAUAGCCGACCUGAGAGGGGGAUCGGCCACACUGGAACGGAGACACGGUCCAGACUCCUACGAGAGGCAGCAGUAGGGAAUCUUCCGCAAUGGGCGAAAGCCUGACGGAGCAACGCCGCGUGAGUGAUGAAGGUCUUCGGAUCGUAAAACUCUGUUAUUAGGGAAGAACAUAUGUGUAAGUAACUGUGCACAUCUUGACGGUACCUAAUCAGAAAGCCACGGCUAACUACGUG